rnacentral:rRNA from 1 species
GACGAACGCUGGCGGCGUGCUUAACACAAGCAAGUCGAACGGAGAGGCCCUGCUUUUGUGGGGUGCUCGAGUGGCGAACGGGUGAGUAACACGUGAGUAACCUGCCCUUGACUUUGGGAUAACUUCAGGAAACUGGGGCUAAUACCGGAUAGGAGCUCCUGCUGCAUGGUGGGGGUUGGAAAGUUUCGGCGGUUGGGGAUGGACUCGCGGCUUAUCAGCUUGUUGGUGGGGUAGUGGCUUACCAAGGCUUUGACGGGUAGCCGGCCUGAGAGGGUGACCGGCCACAUUGGGACUGAGAUACGGCCCAGACUCCUACGGGGGGCAGCAGUGGGGAAUAUUGCACAAUGGGCGGAAGCCUGAUGCAGCAACGCCGCGUGCGGGAUGACGGCCUUCGGGUUGUAAACCGCUUUCGCCUGUGACGAAGCGUGAGUGACGGUAAUGGGUAAAGAAGCACCGGCUAACUACGU